UUCAAUAAAAGACAAGUUUAACGGAAAUCACAUGUAAUAUAUACAAAGGGUUGAAAUAGAAGAGAAGGUCCAAAUAUGGGCAAUGGUCCAAAUAUGGGCUAGCGGUGUUUUAGUUCUCUAUGGCGCUGCAGCCUGAUAACAAGUACAUGGGUAAUUUCGUUGAAGACGUAGCGUGCCACACAGUUGCAUUUAACGAUUGUUUUCGAGGCAGUAUACAAAUUAUACAUAAUUAUUAGUUUUGUGACGAUUGAAAAUUUGUGCAGAAUGCCUAGACGUACCACAAAAUAUCAGUCCAAAAAUAAAAGGAAAUAAUGGUGUGCUGAAAAUAUGGAGAAACCCAGACAGCACCGGACAUCCAGUGGAUGUACGUUUCACAUCUAAUUUAUGUCCGUAUGUCCGAUUUAUAUUCGUGGACAUAAAUUGGACAUAACAAGGAUGUCCUUAUUUGGACAUCGGACCUGUAGGACGUCCGAUGUACGUCCAUCGGACGUUUAUGUCCGAAGUUGUGUACGAAACAUACGUCAUAUGGACGUCUUUUAUAAAAAAAAUGGACAUAUAAUGACGUCCAGUGGACGUCCGUGUGCUAUCUGGGAAGCUAUCGAUGCAGUUAGGGAGAAGAAAAUGGGAAUAUUAAAGGCAUCCAAAUAUUUUAAUGUUCCUCGUACAACUUUGCAAAGACUGUGUAAAAGCAAUGGCUUAUCUUCACAUGAAGCUGCAAAGAAAAAAUUAGGAAGAAAGCCUAUAUUAGGAGAGGAAAAGAAACUCGUACAAUACUUACUUUUCAUAGAAGAAAAGCUGUAUGGAUUUACUGAAUGGAUACACUGAAAGACUUGAAACGUAUGGCGUAUCAAUUAGCUAUAAGAAACAAUAUAUCUCACCAAUUUACCUCAGCUGAAGCUGGCAGAUCAUGACAGAUCUAUUUCUGAAUCGUCACAAAAGUGUCUUCUUUCUGCGUAAAGCAACUGGAACUUCCUUUGCCAGAACUUUAGGUUUUAAUAAGGAAAGUGUACAACAAUUUUUUAAACUCUUAGAAGAUGCUUAUGCGGAACAUUAUUACCCUCGUGGACGAAUUUUCAACGUGGAUAAGACGGGGCUUAUAGUUGUGCAAAGUAAAAUUCCACUAAUUCUUGUAAAGAAAAGUAAAAAGCAAAUAGGUACUUUAACAUCAGCUGAACGGGGAGCAAUGUUGACUAUGAUAGCUUACAUGAAUGCAAAUGGAAGUUUUAUUCCACCAAUGUUUAUUUUCCCGAGGACGAACAUGUCAAAUCAGCUUACGAAAGGGAGUCCACCAGUCCAUUGGCGUUGCUCACCCACCCGGAUGGUCAUUACAGCCAUGUUAAAAAUAUAGAUGUGAUCGAAAUGGCCCGAAAUAAUUAUGUGAAGAUUAUUGCGUCACCUCCACAUUGUACUCACAAGCUGCAGCCAUUAGACAAAACCUUUAUGGGCGCCUUGAAAACUCAUUACAGCAAUGAAAUAAGAAAUACUUUAUUUCACUUUAAGAAAGCUCUUAUAUCAUACGACAUAAUGGAACAAUUUGGGAAAGCCUACUUGAAAGUCCAGAGAGCAGAAAUUGCAAUGAAUGGCUUUAAAGUUACCGGAAUAUUUCCUUUAAAUAAAAAUAUAUUUUGUGAUGAGGACUUCAUUGCGGCUGAAACUGAGUCCCACUAAGAAGAAACCAUUUAAGAGGAUAUUAAUGUCACAAGGCCAUAUUCAUGCACUAUUAUACUAAUAUACUCAGAGCACUGAGGAAUCUAUUUACGAACGUCAAUAGUCGUCUUUUCCAACUGAAGGAAUCGUUAUGGAUAUUUCAUAUGAGUUAUCUGCAAAUGAACAACCUGCAAAUGAAUUACCGGGAACUUCUAGUACAGUGAGUCCUUUUCAGAUUUUACCUGUGUCAAGCAUAAGAAAAAAAUCUAGCAAUCGGGGUCGCAGAUCCGGUGCUUGUGUUGUCACAGGAUCUCCAUAUAAAAAAAGUCUCUCUAAAUAUCCUAGUCUUUGGAAAUAUCUAAAGAUAAAAAAAGAAAAAAAUGCUGUUGAUUGUCUACCGAAGAAGAAAGGAAAACUCCAAAAAAGAACUAUGAUCAAAAAACAACGGAAACGUGAUUCUGAGGAAAUUGAAAAUGAGAAUCUUGCACAAAAUGAUUAUGAUAGUGACGUCGACUUGCCCAUCGGAAAAAAACGACCUGAAAGCGAUGAUGAUACAACUUGUAUAUUUUGUGAUCGAAAGUUCUCAGAUGAUAGGAAAGGAAAAUUACGGGUGCAAUGUUUAAUGUGCUCCUUGUGGGCACACGUUGAUUGUGCAGGAGCUGAGAAAGAUUAUUAUAUAUGCGAUUAUUGUCGAUGAAUGUAAUGAAAAAAA
rnacentral:misc_RNA from 1 species